AGCUAGUUGGUGAGGUAAUGGCCCACCAAGGCGACGAUCGGUAGCCGGACUGAGAGGUUGAACGGCCACAUUGGGACUGAGACACGGCCCAGACUCCUACGGGAGGCAGCAGUGGGGAAUAUUGCACAAUGGGGGAAACCCUGAUGCAGCGACGCCGCGUGGAGGAAGAAGGUCUUCGGAUUGUAAACUCCUGUUGUUGAGGAAGAUAAUGACGGUACUCAACAAGGAAGUGACGGCUAACUACGUGCCAGCAGCCGCGGUAAAACGUAGGUCACAAGCGUUGUCCGGAAUUACUGGGUGUAAAGGGAGCGCAGGCGGGCGAUCAAGUUGGAAGUGAAAUCCAUGGGCUCAACCCAUGAACUGCUUUCAAAACUGAUUGUCUUGAGUAGUGCAGAGGUAGGCGGAACUCCCGGUGUAGCGGUGGAAUGCGUAGAUAUCGGGAGGAACACCAGUGGCGAAGGCGGCCUACUGGGCACCAACUGACGCUGAGGCUCGAAAGUGUGGGUAGCAAACAGGAUUAGAUACCCUGGUAGUCCACACCGUAAACGAUGAUUACUAGGUGUUGGAGGAUUGACCCCUUCAGUGCCGCAGUUAACACAAUAAGUAAUCCACCUGGGGAGUACGACCGCAAGGUUGAAACUCAAAGGAAUUGACGGGGGCCCGCAUAAGCAGUGGAGUAUGUGGUUUAAUUCGACGCAACGCGAAGAACCUUACCAAGUCUUGACAUCCUGCGACGGACAUAGAAAUAUGUUUUUCCUUCGGGACGCAGAGACAGGUGGUGCAUGGUUGUCGUCAGCUCGUGUCGUGAGAUGUUGGGUUAAGUCCCGCAACGAGCGCAACCCUUAUGGUCAGUUACUACGCAAGAGGACUCUGGCCAGACUGCCGUUGACAAAACGGAGGAAGGUGGGGAUGACGUCAAAUCAUCAUGCCCUUUAUGACUUGGGCUACACACGUACUACAAUGGCGUUAAACAAAGAGAAGCAAGACCGCGAGGUGGAGCAAAACUCAGAAACAACGUCCCAGUUCGGACUGCAGGCUGCAACUCGCCUGCACGAAGUCGGAAUUGCUAGUAAUCGCAGAUCAGCAUGCUGCGGUGAAUACGUUCCCGGGCCUUGUACACACCGCCCGUCACACCAUGAGAGCCGGGGGGACCCGAAGUCGGUAGUCUAACCGCAAGGAGGACGCCGCCGAAGGUAAAACUGGUGAUUGGGGUGAAGUCGGAACAAGGUAGCCGUAGGAACCUGCGGCUG
rnacentral:rRNA from 1 species